UCUCCAGUAAUUCCUAUUAUAUGGAGUAUAGUGUCCACCUGUACUCUUUUCUUCGUCAUGGGAAAAGAAAGGAUUAUUUUGCUGGGAGAAAAAGGGGAAGGAGGAAGGCCGAGUGUGAAAGGAAGAGGUAGAUCAAAAGAAUUACUGGUUUUAGGUUUUCCUUAAUGGAGUAGGAAUCAUGACGGGCGUCUCUGGUUUAUGGCUGGAAUGAGGGUACUUCCCCAACACCGUAGCUGAGGAACCCUAAACUGAAAAAGUCUCAAUAUACGGAGGCCAUUGUCUACUGUACAACUAUAGUCUCAGUCUUGUUCAUCCACCAGGCGUCUCUGGAGUCGUGUAGAUUCAUGUUAGACUUAGCAUCCUCCUCUAUCCUCCUGGAGUCUUGUACGAAGGAUAGAGGAGGAUGCUAAGUCCAACAAAUUUGCAUGAAAAACGCAUGGAAGAAGUCCACCAGCAUAAAGAAACAACACUUCAGAUUCAAAAGUAAUAUGCUGCAAAGAGGUGUCAAGCAUGUGAACUAGUUGUGAAAAAGUUACUCAGAAACAGAAGGGCAAUCAAUGUUGGGCAGUGAGGCUAAUUCAUAUGAGAUAUCAUCUUAUGAAGGCUGCGAGGAGGACAACGAUGAUGAUUUUACUCCAGGAAACUCAUACCAUCAUGGACAAGGUGGAUGAGGAUAAACUGCUGUUUAGAUAUUUUUUCUUUUUACAAGGCUAUACAAU